UACGUAGGGGGCGAGCGUUAUCCGGAUUCAUUGGGCGUAAAGGGCGCGCAGGCGGUCCCGGGUAGUGGCGCGUGGAAUCUCCCGGCUCACCUGGGAGGGGUCGCGGCAGACGACGGGACUAGAGGCAGGCAGAGGAUCGCGGAACGGGCGGAGUAGGGGUGAAAUCCGUAGAGACCGUCCGGAACACCAAUGGCGCAGGCAGCGGUCUGGACCUGUCCUGACGCUCGGGCGCGAAAGCGUGGGGAGCGAACGGA
rnacentral:rRNA from 1 species